GCAGUGUUUCGGUCUGCCGCCGGCAUCCUUGCGAUGCGGGAGGAAAGUCCGGGCAGCGCAGGACGUUCCACUUCUGAAAAUGGAAGCUACCGGCGACGGUAGGUAGAGGUAGAAGAAAACAACCGCCAAGGCUCGCGCCGUGGUAAGGGUGAGAAGGUGGUGUAAGAGACCACCAGUCGAUGGGCGAUCAUCGAGCUGUGCCUCCUGGAAGCUGCAAGUUCGCGUAAACCGUCGUUUGAGGGUUGUCCGCCCGAAGAUGCUACGACGGAGGGUAGAAUGCUCAAGCUGCGGGGCGACUCGCAGCGUAGAUAAAUGGCAGACGCUUUCCGCUCACGACAACGUGAGGAAAGAACAGAACCCGGCUUAUAGAGACACUGCUUUC
rnacentral:RNase_P_RNA from 1 species